CUACGGGUGGCACCAGUGGGGAAUCUUAGACAAUGGGCGCAAGCCUGAUCUAGCCAUGCCGCGUGAGUGAUGAAGGCCUUAGGGUCGUAAAGCUCUUUCGCUGGGGAAGAUAAUGACGGUACCCAGUAAAGAAACCCCGGCUAACUCCGUGCCAGCAGCCGCGGUAAUACGGAGGGGGUUAGCGUUGUUCGGAAUUACUGGGCGUAAAGCGCGCGUAGGCGGACUGUUAAGUCGGGGGUGAAAUCCCGGGGCUCAACCCCGGAACGGCCUUCGAUACUGGCAGUCUGGAGUUCGAGAGAGGUGAGUGGAAUUCCGAGUGUAGAGGUGAAAUUCGUAGAUAUUCGGAGGAACACCAGUGGCGAAGGCGGCUCACUGGCUCGAUACUGACGCUGUGGUGCGAAAGUGUGGGGAGCAAACAGGAUUAGAUACCCCAGUAGUC
rnacentral:rRNA from 1 species